CCUACGGGGGCUGCAGUGGGGAAUAUUGGACAAUGGGCGAAAGCCUGGUCCAGCCAUGCCGCGUGUGUGAAGAAGGCCUUCGGGUUGUAAAGCACUUUCAGUGGGGAAGAAAGCCUUGGGGCUAAUACCCUCGAGGAAGGACAUCACCCACAGAAGAAGCACCGGCUAACUCCGUGCCAGCAGCCGCGGUAAUACGGAGGGUGCGAGCGUUAAUCGGAAUUACUGGGCGUAAAGCGCGCGUAGGCGGUCUGAUAAGCCGGUUGUGAAAGCCCCGGGCUCAACCUGGGAACGGCAUCCGGAACUGUCAGGCUAGAGUGCAGGAGAGGAAGGUAGAAUUCCCGGUGUAGCGGUGAAAUGCGUAGAGAUCGGGAGGAAUACCAGUGGCGAAGGCGGCCUUCUGGACUGACACUGACGCUGAGGUGCGAAAGCGUGGGUAGCAAACAGGAUUAGAUACCCUAGUAGUC
rnacentral:rRNA from 1 species